rnacentral:RNase_P_RNA from 1 species
CAAGUAGAUCGCCUUAUCGAACCAAACUUGUUUUGGUUAGGAAAGUCCGAACACCAAAGUGCAACAUAGUGGUUAAUGGCCACCAGUCGUGAGGCUAGGAAAAGUGCAACAGAAAGAAUGUACAGGUAAUGCUGUAGUGAAACCAGGUAAACUCUAUGUGGUGCAAUGUCAUGUAAACCAACGUUUGAGAGCUGCACGCUUGAUGUUGGAGGGUAGGCAGCUAAAGUGUAUUGGUAACAAUGCACUCAGAUAAAUGAUAAGGAUGUUUUGAACUAUUGUUGGGGAGAUCCUGAAAUGAGUUCAGGACAUACAGAAUUCGGCUUAUAGAUUUACUUAAAUA